CUUUAAGCUGCGAGCAGAGCUGGGGUUUCCUGCUUUAACAGAGCACCAUGCAAAGUGUUCAAACUCUUAUAACACAGACAACAACCAAUUAUUGUCUGUGCCAUUAUCAUUGAAAAAUGACGAUGCCUCACAUUAUUAUCUGCAGUCUGCUGCUGUAGAUGAGAGAAAU